rnacentral:rRNA from 1 species
AGCUGCAUCUCCAUGCGGUUCUCACCUGGUGUCCCACUGAAGCUAAGCAGGGUUGAGUCUGGUCAGUACCUGGAUGGGAGACCUCCUGGAGGAAACUAAAGUGCAGGAU